CUUGAAAUGCGGUUGCUUGAUUAAAAAAUUCUCAACUGGAAUACAAUAAAAAUAAAUUGAAGUACAUGACAUUAACAUAUGCUUUAAGUACGGGCUUUGAUUAUGUGUCUAGACCAUAACUUUGUCUUUCUAAGGAGUAGGAGAGCAAUUCCCACUUGCAAAAUUUGCAGGAAUAAACUAUAGCAUUCUUGGAGGGCAAGCUUGAAGUUUUUUGUGAGGAGUUGUAUAAACUAAGCUAAGCUUAAUGCUAAAAAAAAAUCUCAACUGCAUGCAAUAAAUUAAGUAAGAAGACAUUUAUAUACAGUAUAUUCUUCAAACUGCCUGGUCCCCCUGGCUAAGGAUCUACGAAUCUAGACUUAUUGCCAGCCUUACAAAGCUUCUGACGUACUCCCUUAAAGUCUUCAUGACUAAGAAUAGUUUUCUACUGCACGACAGAAAUUAAUAAACAGCGGGCAGCAGGGCUAGGGACCGCCGCUGGAAGUGAACCUUGCAGGAGAACUUCAGGAAAAAGAUGUAAGAGAACCACAUAUCGCAGCUUAGAUAACUGAAUGGAU
rnacentral:lncRNA from 1 species